AAGGAUUUGAAGACUUCAACUUGCAGGCUUGAAGAAUUUGAAGGCUUCAAUUUGCAGACUUGAAGAAUUUGAAGGCUUCAACC
rnacentral:pre_miRNA from 1 species